AACAGCCUUGUUGCUCACACAAAGCCUGUUUGGUGGUCUCUUCACACAAACGCGCAUGAAAUUUGGUGCCAUGACUCGGAUCGGGGUACCUCCCUUGGGAGAUCAAUCCCCAGUCCUCCUGCUCUUUGCUCCGUGAGAAAGAUCUACCUAGGACCUCAGGUCCUCAGACUGACCAGCCCAAGGAACAUCUCACCAAUUUCAAAUCUGGACCCCACUGAAAAUCGGACUGUUCAACUCAUCUGGCAGCCACUCCCAGAGCCCCUGGAACUCUGGCCCAAGCCUCUCUGACUGACUCCUUCCCAGAUCUUCUCGGCUUAGCAGCUGAAGACUGACACUGCCCAAUCGCCUUGGAAGCCCCCUAGACCAUCACGGAUGCCGAGCUUCGAGUAACUCUCACAGUGGAGGGAACGCGCAUGAAAAAACCAAACAAACAAAAAAAUUUCUUUUGGUAGCAGAAUAAAAAAACAAAAAAAAGGACUUUUUCUUCUGGACUGAACUAUAUUUAAAUCUCAAAGGAUGGACAUCUCACAACCUUCCUACAGCAAGUACUGUGAGAGCUGCAUCUUGUCCCACUGGAUGGUCUUCAGAGACAAUAAUACAUAAUGGAGCUGUCAUCUCCUAUGAUAACAAUGCCUUCUUCUGGAUACCUCCUGAAGGACCUGCCUGAGGCUCUUUCACUGUUAGUUUUUUUUUAAUAAGUAGAAGGAUUACACUCUAAAAUAAUAAGUGUAGUAUAGUAAAUGUAUAAACCAGUAACAUAAUGGUUUAUUAUCAUUAUCAAGUAUUACAUACUGUACAAAAUUAUAUGUGCUACAAUUUUAUGUGACUGGCAG
rnacentral:lncRNA from 1 species